AAACUGUUCAGUUAACGGUCUGGUAUGGAAGAAGAUAUGACGCGUGCCAAAAUCCCAUCGGGCAAUUGAACAAAAUGGCGGAGAAGAAUCGUUAGAAUAAUCAUCGCUGUUCAAAGUAACGGCAUUUCUGAUGACGACAAUGUGCAAAUCCAGGGGUGAGACAGAACGGUUCAACAUGGAGAAAGAGAGCGUUCGUCCGUCGGUGAGAUGGAAGAAUGGGUGGUGGCAGUGGCCAAGGGGGUGGUAUAGAAAGAGAGGGUGCGUAAGUUGGAAAACGCCUGACGAAAGCCUGCAGACAGCAGUAGAAGAAUGGCCGAUACCGUUAGAAGGGAAACCCAGGAAGAAGGAAGAAAAUAGAAGAGGG